rnacentral:tRNA from 1 species
GGCCUCGUACCUCAGCUGGUAGAGCGUCCACUUUGCAAAAAGUAUAGGCGGCGUGGGUUCUAAUCCCACCGAGGCAA